rnacentral:rRNA from 1 species
AGCGAACGUUUGCGGCGGGCCUAACACAUGCAAGUCGAACGGGCUACUUCGGUAGUCAGUGGCGCACGGGUGCGUAACACGUGGGUAAUCAACCCUCUAGACUGGGAUAACCCGGGGAAACUCGAGCUAAUACCAGAUGUGUCGCCCUGAUCCUCGGAUCGGGUCGAGAAAAGGUCGCAAGGCCUGUUAGAGGACGAGCCCGCGGCCCAUCAGCUUGUUGGUGAGGUAAUGGCUCACCAAGGCUAAGACGGGUAGCUGGUCUGAGAGGAUGGCCAGCCACACUGGAACUGAGACACGGUCCAGACUCCUACGGGAGGCAGCAGUGGGGAAUUUUGGACAAUGGGCGCAAGCCUGAUCCAGCCAUGCCGCGUGAGUGAAGAAGGCCU